rnacentral:tRNA from 1 species
GGGCACGUGGUGAAAUUGGUAUACACGUACGCUUCAGAAGCGUAUGCCGCAAGGCUUGGAGGUUCAAGUCCUCUCGUGCCCA